rnacentral:lncRNA from 1 species
UUUAAACGGAAAUCGACAGUGCAAAUUUCGGUUCCCACAGUUUGGCACUAGAAGGAGGGGGGGGUACGGAUCAAUCUAACUCUUAGCCACAAAACGCUUGAUCAAAACAAUGCCUGGAAACACGAAAGAAAAAAUCGCAGUUCGCAACAACGCUGGUAAGACAACCCCAGCUGCCACUGCACCUAUGGCCAACGAUUACGUAAACGCCAUAGUGCCUAAAAAAAAUCGAAAAAAACCUAGCCGCGACUUUUCG